rnacentral:rRNA from 2 species
AAACCAACAGGGAUUGCCUUAGUAGCGGCGAGUGAAGCGGCAAAAGCUCAAAUUUGAAAUCUGGCUCUUUCAGAGUCCGAGUUGUAAUUUGAAGAAGGUAUCUUUGGGCCUGGCUCUUGUCUAUGUUUCUUGGAACAGAACGUCACAGAGGGUGAGAAUCCCGUGCGAUGAGAUGACCCAGGUCCGUGUAAAGUUCCUUCGACGAGUCGAGUUGUUUGGGAAUGCAGCUCUAAGUGGGUGGUAAAUUCCAUCUAAAGCUAAAUAUUGGCGAGAGACCGAUAGCGAACAAGUACAGUGAUGGAAAGAUGAAAAGAACUUUGAAAAGAGAGUGAAAAAGUACGUGAAAUUGUUGAAAGGGAAGGGCUUGAGAUCAGACUUGGCAUUUUGCAUGUUGCUUCUUCGGGGGCGGCCUCUGCGGUUUGUCGGGCCAGCAUCAGUUUGGGCGGUAGGACAAUCGCGCGGGAAUGUGGCACGGCCUCGGCUGUGUGUUAUAGCCCGCGUGGAUACUGCCAGCCUAGACUGAGGACUGCGGUUUAUACCUAGGAUGUUGGCAUAAUGAUCUUAAGUCGC